rnacentral:rRNA from 1 species
CCUACGGGGGGCAGCAGUGAGGAAUUUUCGUCAAUGGGGGCAACCCUGAACGAGCAACGCCGCGUGCAGGAAGAAGGUUUUCGGAUCGUAAACUGCUUUUCUCUGGGACGCGGUACCAGAGGAAUCAGCCUCGGCUAACUACGUGCCAGCAGCCGCGGUAAUACGUAGGAGGCGAGCGUUGUCCGGAGUUACUGGGCGUAAAGCGCACGCAGGCGGUCAGAUCAGUCUGGAGUGACAGUCGUCGGCUUAACCGACGAAGUGUUCUGGAAACUGUCUGACUUGAGGGCUUCAGAGGGACACGGAAUUCCGGGUGGAGUGGUGAAAUGCGUAGAUAUCCGGAGGAACACCAAUGGCGAAGGCAGUGUCCUGGGAAGUCCUGACGCUCAGGUGCGAAAGCUAGGGGAGCGAACAGGAUUAGAUACCCUUGUAGUC